rnacentral:tRNA from 1 species
GGGUCGAUAGCUCAGUUGGUAGAGCGGACGUCUUAUACACGUCUGGUCGCUGGUUCGAUCCCAGCUCGACCCACCA